rnacentral:misc_RNA from 1 species
GUAGUUCCCAAAGGUAGAAAUGUCGAUGGAGCUGGCUUAUAGCCAUACAAAGCUUCAAAAGGAGACAUUUUCAAAGCAGAAUGAUGGCUUGUAUUGUACCACCAUUCAGCUAAGGAUAACCAUUUGAACCAGGAAUGGGGUUGUUGAUAACAAAGACACCUGAAAUACCCUUCCAAGCUCUGAUUCAACCUCUCAGAUUGCCCAUCUGUCUAGGGAUGGUAUGCUGUGCUAUAGGUUAGCUUACUUCCCAACAUCUUAAAAAUUCUUUCCAAAAAAGGCUAGUGAAGAUCUUAUCUCUGUCAGAAAUGAUGGUCACAGGACAACCAUGCAAUUUGAAGACUGAUUCCAGAAAAAAUUUAGCAACAUCUGAAGCUGAAAAAGGGUGCUGGAGUGCUAAGAAAUGAGCAUACUUAGUGAACUUGCAGAUUACUACUAGGAUGGUGUCUUUGCCCUUGGACUUAGGCAACUGCUUCACAAAGUCCAUAGUGACAUGCUGCCAAGCU